rnacentral:rRNA from 1 species
UACGGGGGGGGCAAGCGUUGUUCGGAAUUACUGGGCGUAAAGGGCGCGUAGGCGGCCAACUAAGUCAGACGUGAAAUCCCUCGGCUUAACCGGGGAACUGCGUCUGAUACUGGAUGGCUUGAGGUUGGGAGAGGGAUGCGGAAUUCCGGGUGUAGCGGUGGAAUGCGUAGAGAUCCGGAAGAACACCGGUGGCGAAGGCGGUCUGCUGGGGUGAGGCUGACGCUGAUGCGCGACAGCGUGGGGAGCAAACAGG